rnacentral:rRNA from 1 species
CCAGCGAACUUGGCAGAGAUGCCUUGGUGCCUGCGGGAACGCUGAGACAGGUGCUGCAUGGCUGUCGUCAGCUCGUGUUGUGAAAAUGUUGGGGUUAAGUCCCGNAACGAGCGCAACCCUUAUCCUUUGUUGCCAGCGAUUCGGUCGGGAACUCAAGGGAGACUGCCGGUGAUAAACCGGAGGAAGGUGGGGAUGACGUCAAGUCAUCAUGGCCCUUACGAGUAGGGCUACACACGUGCUACAAUGGCGCAUACAAAGAGAAGCGACCUCGCGAGAGCAAGCGGACCUCAUAAAGUGCGUCGUAGUCCGGAUCGGAGUCUGCAACUCGACUCCGUGAAGUCGGAAUCGCUAGUAAUCGUGGAUCAGAAUGCCACGGUGAAUACGUUCCCGGGCCUUGUACACACCGCCCGUCACACCAUGGGAGUGGGUUGCAAAAGAAGUAGGUAGCUUAACCUUCGGGAGGGCGCUUACCACUUUGUGAUUCAUGACUGGGGUGAAGUCGUAACAAGGUAAGCGUAGCGAG